rnacentral:rRNA from 1 species
GGCGGCGUGCUUAACACAUGCAAGUCGAACGGUGAAGGGAAGCUUGCUUCCCGGAUCAGUGGCGAACGGGUGAGUAACACGUGGGCAAUCUGCCCCAGACUUUGGGAUAACUACUCGAAAGAGUAGCUAAUACCGAAUAUUCAGCCUUGCAGGCAUCUGCGAGGCUGGAAAGUUUCUCGGUCUGGGAUGAGCCCGCGGCCUAUCAGCUAGUUGGUGAGGUAAUGGCUCACCAAGGCGACGACGGGUAGCCGGCCUGAGAGGGCGACCGGCCACACUGGGACUGAGACACGGCCCAGACUCCUACGGGAGGCAGCAGUGGGGAAUAUUGCGCAAUGGGCGAAAGCCUGACGCAGCAACGCCGCGUGCGGGAUGAAGGCCUUCGGGUUGUAAACCGCUUUCAGCAGGGAAGAAGCGAAAGUGACGGUACCUGCAGAAGAAGCACCGGCUAACUACGUG